rnacentral:tRNA from 1 species
GGAGAGGUGCCGGAGUGGUUGAACGGGGCGGUCUCGAAAACCGUUAAGGGCGCAAGUCCUUCGAGGGUUCGAAUCCCUCCCUCUCCGCCA